rnacentral:rRNA from 1 species
GACGAACGCUGGCGGCGUGCUUAACACAUGCAAGUCGAACGGUGAAGCGCCUUCCUUUUUGGUGGGUGUGGAUGAGUGGCGAACGGGUGAGUAACACGUGAGUAACCUGCCCCCUUCUUCUGGAUAACCGCAUGAAAGUGUGGCUAAUACGGGAUAUUCUGGGUCUGUCGCAUGAUGGGUCUGGGAAAGAUAUUGUUUCGGUGGGGGAUGGGCUCGCGGCCUAUCAGCUUGUUGGUGGGGUGAUGGCCUACCAAGGCGGUGACGGGUAGCCGGCCUGAGAGGGUGGACGGUCACACUGGGGCUGAGACACGGCCCAGACUCCUACGGGAGGCAGCAGUGGGUAAUAUUGCACAAUGGGCGCAAGCCUGAUGCAGCGACGCCGCGUGAGGGAUGGAGGCCUUCGGGUUGUGAACCUCUUUCGCCAGUGAAGCAGGCCUGCCUCGUUUGUGGGUGGGUUGACGGUAGCUGGAUAAGAAGCGCCGGCUAACUACGUG